CAGUAGCCGCGGUAACACGUAGGUGGCAAGCGUUGUCCGGAAUUAUUGGGCGUAAAGGGCUCGCAGGCGGUUUCUUAAGUCUGAUGUGAAAGCCCCCGGCUCAACCGGGGAGGGUCAUUGGAAACUGGGAAACUUGAGUGCAGAAGAGGAGAGUGGAAUUCCACGUGUAGCGGUGAAAUGCGUGGAGAUGUGGAGGAACACCAGUGGCGAAGGCGACUCUCUGGUCUGUAACUGACGCUGAGGAGCGAAAGCGUGGGGAGCGAACAGGAUUAGAUACCCCUGUAGUCCCUGUCUCUUAUAC
rnacentral:rRNA from 1 species